GCUUGAGUGAGCAGCAGCAGCAGUGCUGGAGACGAGGGAUAAUUUGCAGCAGCAGCUCCUUAUUCCUCCCUCAGACUCCCCGGUUGCUUGGCAUUCGCGGCAAGAGCCCGUGUGAGGGGCCAGAGGGGACACUGCAGAACGAAUGCUAGGGAGACUGCAAAACGCUGGUGCCCCCUGUUGCCUGAGAUGGGUGAGCCAUGCAGUCCAUCCUGGUGGUUGCUGCUGCAGUGGCCUGAUGUAGAGGUGAGGUACUACAGGUGCCUACAGGG